UCUUCUUCGUUCGAGUUUAUUGGCGGUUUGCAAACCAAUACGGUACAUUACCGCCACCAACUGUUGAAGUGCCUGCAAUGCCUUCACAUGAGGUGGGGCUGUUUGGAAACAGUGCUGAUGUGCCGUAAAGGAUUCAACGUGCCACAAAGUAUCAUAAAGAUGUCCUA